CCGCUUAUAGUUUAAUGGAUAAAAUAAUAAUUUACGAAGUUAUUGAUUUUGGGUUCAACUCCCGAUAAGCAAG
rnacentral:tRNA from 1 species